GCCUCGGUGGUGCAGGGGUAGCACGCGUCCCCCGUAUGGAUGAAACGCGAGUUCGACUCGGCCUGAGGCC